rnacentral:lncRNA from 1 species
CUUUUUUGAACCACAGCAGCACUGUGAUUGGAAUUUCUACUUUGGAGAUGUUUUUAGUGAUAGUCUACCACACUUUGGUCAUUCUGCAAUCCUCUGCAAGUCCAACCUCAAGACGAAAUGUGCUGAUUAAAAGAUACGCUGCAGGUACUGGAGGAACACAAUGAAAAGGCAGAGUGCAGUGAAUGAAUCUUGUCUCUCAGCAGUGCUAUUUGAAGAACUUCUUGAAGCCAGUGGUGGAGCAUAACUGGGCUACUUGAAAGGAACUACCACUAAGAUGCAGGUUUUUGGGACACCCAGGAAAGAAAAAAUGAAAGUGAAUAAUAGGAAAAAUAAAAAAUAAAAAGUCAGACUUGGAGAUUUCUGCUCUUUCCACUGAACUUCUCUUUGCAUGAGUCAGAGGAAGGUGUGAAAUUAUAAGAAGAUCACCCUGUGAAGAUCUAUGAAAAUCUAGUCAGAUAAUCAACUGAGACUGAAGAAUGAUUCUUCUCAACCUGAAGUGCACAUCUAAAAUAGAUCAGACAGUCAAACCUCAGAAUUGCUGGCUGUUAAGUGAGGUCAGCACGACUAGCUUUGUAGCAGAAGUUCACUACAGAUGUCUAAAGCCAGAUGAGAAGUAUCACCUCAUUAAUCAAUUCAAGCACAGUAUGAAUGUAGUAAAGGACCAGCACACCAGCAAAGGCAGCUAUACAAAAGCUCUUCUGUGUGUUGAUAGGCAGUAGAGGUGCCAGUGAUAAAUUGGGCUGCACGUGGAACAAGAUUAAAAGUAUUAAGUUGGAGUGCAUUGCCUUGUACAUGAAUUUACUGAGUAGCUUCAAAGGGAAUGUAUGUUCAGUUAUGAUGGUUUGAGGGGAAAAAAAUUUUGUCAUUUUGUAUUGUCACAAAGGAAGACAUUCUACGUAAGUGCUAGAAGAUAAGGGAAAUCAUGGAAAACCUGAAGGAUUCAGAAAGACUUGGAUUGUUAGCAUUUGGAAGGAGACAAAGAAAUAUAGCAAUAAAAGCUGGGUUCACUGUGGUUGUAUGCUUGUUUUGUCACAGAUGUUCAGGGCACAAACUACCCUAACAAUGGCAUCCCUAAACUUGGUGUCCAGAUCUGAGAUAGUCACCUUGGGCUGCAAUAGAAGGGAAAAUGAUUAUUCUAUACUUACCAUUAGCAAGUGAUAUUCUUCCAUGUCUUGGAAAGCAGGGUCUCAAUGGACAUAGCAGCCAUUUGGGAGGACAGACAAGUUGAAAAGUGGUACAGGGGGUCUGCUUCUCCUCUCACUGUAGAAAUGAGCUAUGGACCUCACUGUUGCAUCAAUUGACUGACACUGCUCCAAGAUGAGUAAGAUUCAAAGAGAAACAGUGAUUACAUGGCUGAAAAGAAUAUCCAGAUAUAGCACAAAAGAUAAAAUUACACAGGAAGGCUAUAAAAUCUUCAGAUUUGAAAAGAUCAAGAUAUCCUUUAUUUUUUGUUGCUCAGAAGAGAUAAUCUGGGUUACAGACUGUAACGUCUGCUUAUUACAAACCAUUUUACACUUUUCGCCAGUCAAUGUUCUUUCUCAGGAAAGAAGUCCCUAGGCUAUUUCUCUGAUCCUAUAUGGACAUUUUUAUGUUGCUAGAGAAGAUGGAAGUCUCCAUUUGUGUUUAACAUGGGAUUUCCUCUUCUAGAUGGAAAUCAUCCAGUCUCAUUGAUUAAGUGCAAUUUCCACACACUUCAGUACAGCUCUGCAGGAUUUAAUGACUGCACCCAGCUGAGCAAUAUUCUCUGGAUUUGAUUCACUAUACAUAUUAAUUUUAGAGCCUGUCUCAAAUAACCUUCAUUGAUUUCUUCAUCAUAUAUACAAGUCUAACCUUGUUUGACUGGUUGCUUGAAAUGCAGUGCCAUUAUUCAGUGGAACAGGAAUUAAGACAGGCUGAUGUGGCUGAACAGAAUUAACGGUUUAAAAAAGUUGUCUGUCUGUGCUGAUGCAUUUGAGAAGAAAAGUGAUGGGGAUUCUGAGCACAGCGAGACCUGCAAGGUGCUUUGUAAAGCAAGUUACUUUCAAGAGAGAAAAAAAAAAACCAAAAACUGUCUGAAUGGUACAUUAGGCAUGAUCUGAUAAUAACCCCAAAAAUGUCUAGAAUGGAUACAAAUUGCAAAUCCACAGCUGUGACAAUGCAACUAUGGAUUUCUGGCCUCAUAGAUUUAGAGGAGCAAUAACUGCCAUUGCCAAACUAGUUAAAAGCAACGGCUGAAAGCGUGUAAGUUAGAC